AAGCCCGCUGCGGCGGCUGCAGCUGAGGACGGAUGCUGGAGCCGCAGCCGAUUGGGCAGAGAUCGGCUUUCCAGGAACUGGGUCUUCAGCUGCGGCUGGAGCGAUGCUUCCCCACGCCUAGCGGAUGCCAAAGCUUGCUGUGAGCUCAGAGAGCGGCCGGCUACUGAGCAUGCUCGGUUCCCGGCUCCUCCAGGGCCUUUCAGCGGGACGUGACCUCUCUAGCUGAGCUGAGAAAAGGAGAAUGAGAAGUGCGCAGAGUGUGAGCUGUAGUGGAGGAAGCUGUCAUUCAAAACUCAAAACAAGCCGGCCCCACAUCUGAUUGCUUUUGAGCUUGUGCCUGAAGGUCAAGUGCAUUCCAGGUGAUACCAAGGGAUUUGCCUAGUGGUUCAGAACCAGUCUCUGCAGUCAAGCUGCUCAGAUUUAAAUCCUGAGUUAGGCCACCAUUCAUAACUAAGUGACUUGAAACACAUUACCUUCAUUCUCUGGGCCUUAAUGAUAAAAUGGAACAAUAAUAGUACCUAUCUCAGUUGUGGAGAGCAGUAUAUGAGUAAACGCACAGUUUAGAACAGUUCCUGACACAUAGGAAGUAGUCAGAAAUUUAAGUUCUAGUUACUAGUAUCAAGUCAGAGACUUGUUAAGCCAACAUGAAACUGAUGAACAAUGAGAAGGACACGGUUUGGCAAUUUGGCUGGGGCCAUUCACACUGCAGGGAUGGGGAAAGAACAUAUCAUUGAUGUGUUAUGAAGAGCGGAGAUGGGAAACCUAGGUCCUCAUAAAAUAUCAUUAAAUUGAUCUACCUACCCAAAUGCCUACCUCUUGGCAUGUGAGCCAAUAAAAUCUGUUUAAAGUCAGUUUAAAUUGGAUUUUCCUUGUAGUCAAAAACCUGCUGUCUGAGAUAAGUUUUUUCUUUUCACUUUCCUAUUCGGAAGUCUAAAAUGAUUAAGAUUUAACUAAAUUUCGUAGGACAACCUUUGAGAACUUUCCCUAUUCCCCCCUUGUUUUUGUGCCUUUGUCUUCAUUAUAUUCUGUUAUGCACUUUACAUUCUGGCCAUGACGGGCCACUUGCUCUAACCAUGUCAUUGGCUAUCCCACUGUCCAGCCUGUCUUUGUCCUUUACUUCUCCUACCAAAAGCCAACUCUUCCUUCAAGGUCCAGAUUAAAAGAUACUUUCUCUGAAAUGGGUUUCCAGAAUGAAUGUUUC